CAAACCUCACCUUAUUUCAUGAUGGUUAGUACAGAAACCUGAAACAUGCCAAAAAAUAGAGGGAUCAUUUGAGAUAACACAGUUACAGAUUAGAGAGAGAUUAUUCUUCAUAGGGAAAAACACAUAUGUUUCUCUAGUGUACACCAUAAUUGCAUACUAAGCCUUCUUUCCUCACCUCAUAUCCAUCAAAUUUUGAGUCCCACAUACUCAAGCCGAGAACAAUACAAACCCAGGCCUGAGCGCUCACCUAAAAAAUAGCACAAAGAACAAGCGAUUAGAUUUCAAAAAACACAUUCCAAAUAAGCAUCACGAACAAUUAACUUCAGAACUCCAAAUGUAUCCCGUCUCCAUCAUUCAUCUAUUUAGAUUGACCAUGCAUACUCGAUACGAAAGCGAUCUAAAAGAGGAGGAGACCAAUCCCUACGGCACGUACGCCUCCCCCUGAUCAUCCUCCACCGCACCCUUCUGC
rnacentral:lncRNA from 1 species